rnacentral:tRNA from 1 species
AGAGAUAUGUCUCAGUGGUUAAGAGCACUGACUGCUCUUCCAGAGGACCUGAGUUCAAUUCCCAGUAUCUAUG